UGAUCUUCUUGUUUCUACCUCUCUCUCUGAAGAAGUAGAAGCUUUGAGUACCCUCCAAAAUUCUUGCCGCCGGACCCUCCCCUCUCUUCCCUGGUGAGUGCAGGAUUUGAGUUGGGGCAAGGAUCCCUGUGCUUGUAUCUUUGUGGUUGUAAUCAGGGUCUUGAUCCAUUGGAUUUGGCUUCAAGAUUGCUCAGUAUCUCCUUCUAGAUCUGACCGUGCAGGCCGUCGGAGAUGGAGAUGGUAGUGGCGGUUGCUGCCAUAUCCGAGUCUGCUCAAGUAAGUUAGCUCGUUUUCUAUCUUGGCGUUGAUCCCCUUUUGUGUGUUGGCCUUGGUUCUCAACCUCCAACGUGCCUUUUGUCUAUGUUGCACAUGGAGGAUUGAAGGCUACCGCGGCAAGACCGCCGUGAACAGGCCUAGGAGUUGUAGGUGCAGAGGAUAUUUGCCAGUGUGCAACUUCGCAGAGGGGUCACUCACGAGCAAGAUAAAUUAGUCAUGGAGCUAUCUUCAGGAAAGACUACCGAUCUAGAACUAGCUGUAUUUUCAUGGACAAUUUUGUUGCUCUGACUGAACAGAAUGUCUCUGUAAUUUAGCCAAACAUUAUAUCACCAUGCCAUUACCUAGGUUUUUGCACAUAAUUCUUGUCCGUUUGGGUGGUGCCAAACCGCUAAUAGAAGACAAGUUGGCUUCUUUUUGAAAAAUGACACAAAUGCAUAACUGUAUGUUAUUUAUGGUUGUCUCUGCUGCCUACGACCUAGAAUUACAAGAGGUCCAGUGCUAUUUGUGUGUGUGUGUACUACACAUGAUUUCAAAGCAUUUUUACUAUACGUUUCAUUUCUUUGCUGGGUACAAAAUGUAUUGCAGCUCUUGUUCAUUGUUUUUCAUUUUGUAUAAAUGUAGUAUGAACUCUCUACAUGCUCAGUUUUUCUCCUUUGUUGUCCUCUUAGGUGAGCAGAUGGAUGAAGCAAAAUAACCAGAACUAAUAUUGUUGGAACAUAUGUUUUGAGCACACAAUUGUAAGGAAGGUACACUGCUUUACAGAUGAUUCCAUGGCCUAAUAGACCCCUAUGGUAAUUAACUAAUUAAUUGGAACUAGCUGUGAAAGUUAUGUCUAGAAUAUUUCUUCUCUUCAUCGUAGCGUUGUAUCCAGAUUCAUUUUUCCUGUGCAUAUUUGGCAAAGCAUUCUGUUAACCAAUUCUACUUCAUUCUUGUUUGUCCUCGAACCAUUUAUAAGUGUGUG